GCUUCAGUGACGCAAUGGUUAGUGUGUUGGAUUAGCCAUCAAAACGGCGAUGGUUCGAAUCCUACCUUAGGGUCA